rnacentral:rRNA from 1 species
AGCGAACGCUGGCGGCAGGCCUAACACAUGCAAGUCGAACGAACUCUUCGGAGUUAGUGGCGGACGGGUGAGUAACACGUGGGAACGUGCCUUUUGGUUCGGAAUAACUCAGGGAAACUUGUGCUAAUACCGAAUGUGCCCUUCGGGGGAAAGAUUUAUCGCCAUUAGAGCGGCCCGCGUCUGAUUAGCUAGUUGGUGAGGUAACGGCUCACCAAGGCGACGAUCAGUAGCUGGUGUGAGAGGAUGACCAGCCACACUGGGACUGAGACACGGCCCAGACUCGUACGGGAGGGAGCAGUGGGGAAUCUUGCGCAAUGGGCGAAAGCCUGACGCAGCCAUGCCGCGUGAAUGAUGAAGGUCUUAGGAUUGUAAAAUUCUUUCAGCGGGGACGAUAAUGACAGUACCCGGAGAAGAAGCCCCGGCUAACUUCGUG